GCUUACUGCCAUAUCAGCCUGGGUACGCCCGAUCUCGUCUGAUCUCCGAAGCUAAGCAGGGUCGGGCCUGGUUAGUACUUGGAUGGGAGACAGCCUGGGAAUACCAGGUGCUGUAAGCA
rnacentral:rRNA from 1 species